rnacentral:lncRNA from 1 species
AAACUGGAAAGGUCUGUACAUUAUCAGAAAGAUAUAGCCUAAAGGAGCAUUGUACCUGGGUGACAUUAAAGGAGACGAGCCCGAGGCAGCAGUAAAUGCGAAUGCGGUAAAAGGUAUUAUGUUUGAAACCCCUGCAGCAAUGGUCCCGGUUGAUUGAAAUGACGAAGACUUUGCUUUCCCGCUACAAUCACCCUCUUUGUAACCCGGAAAUGCUGUUCAAAGAAAAGGAAAAAAAA